rnacentral:rRNA from 1 species
GGUUAAGCGACUAAGCGUACACGGUGGAUGCCCUGGCAGUCAGAGGCGAUGAAGGACGUGCUAAUCUGCGAUAAGCGUCGGUAAGGUGAUAUGAACCGUUAUAACCGGCGAUUUCCGAAUGGGGAAACCCAGUGUGUUUCGACACACUAUCAUUAACUGAAUCCAUAGGUUAAUGAGGCGAACCGGGGGAACUGAAACAUCUAAGUACCCCGAGGAAAAGAAAUCAACCGAGAUUCCCCCAGUAGCGGCGAGCGAACGGGGAGCAGCCCAGAGUCUGAAUCAGUGUGUGUGUUAGUGGAAGCGUCUGGAAAGGCGCGCGAUACAGGGUGACAGCCCCGUACACAAAAAUGCACAUGCUGUGAGCUCGAUGAGUAGGGCGGGACACGUGGUAUCCUGUCUGAAUAUGGGGGGACCAUCCUCCAAGGCUAAAUACUCCUGACUGACCGAUAGUGAACCAGUACCGUGAGGGAAAGGCGAAAAGAACCCCGGCGAGGGGAGUGAAAAAGAACCUGAAACCGUGUACGUACAAGCAGUGGGAGCACGCUUAGGCGUGUGACUGCGUACCUUUUGUAUAAUGGGUCAGCGACUUAUAUUCUGUAGCAAGGUUAACCGAAUAGGGGAGCCGAAGGGAAACCGAGUCUUAACUGGGCGUUAAGUUGCAGGGUAUAGACCCGAAACCCGGUGAUCUAGCCAUGGGCAGGUUGAAGGUUGGGUAACACUAACUGGAGGACCGAACCGACUAAUGUUGAAAAAUUAGCGGAUGACUUGUGGCUGGGGGUGAAAGGCCAAUCAAACCGGGAGAUAGCUGGUUCUCCCCGAAAGCUAUUUAGGUAGCGCCUCGUGAAUUCAUCUCCGGGGGUAGAGCACUGUUUCGGCAAGGGGGUCAUCCCGACUUACCAACCCGAUGCAAACUGCGAAUACCGGAGAAUGUUAUCACGGGAGACACACGGCGGGUGCUAACGUCCGUCGUGAAGAGGGAAACAACCCAGACCGCCAGCUAAGGUCCCAAAGUCAUGGUUAAGUGGGAAACGAUGUGGGAAGGCCCAGACAGCCAGGAUGUUGGCUUAGAAGCAGCCAUCAUUUAAAGAAAGCGUAAUAGCUCACUGGUCGAGUCGGCCUGCGCGGAAGAUGUAACGGGGCUAAACCAUGCACCGAAGCUGCGGCAGCGACACUGUGUGUUGUUGGGUAGGGGAGCGUUCUGUAAGCCUGUGAAGGUGUACUGUGAGGUAUGCUGGAGGUAUCAGAAGUGCGAAUGCUGACAUAAGUAACGAUAAAGCGGGUGAAAAGCCCGCUCGCCGGAAGACCAAGGGUUCCUGUCCAACGUUAAUCGGGGCAGGGUGAGUCGACCCCUAAGGCGAGGCCGAAAGGCGUAGUCGAUGGGAAACAGGUUAAUAUUCCUGUACUUGGUGUUACUGCGAAGGGGGGACGGAGAAGGCUAUGUUGGCCGGGCGACGGUUGUCCCGGUUUAAGCGUGUAGGCUGGUUUUCCAGGCAAAUCCGGAAAAUCAAGGCUGAGGCGUGAUGACGAGGCACUACGGUGCUGAAGCAACAAAUGCCCUGCUUCCAGGAAAAGCCUCUAAGCAUCAGGUAACAUCAAAUCGUACCCCAAACCGACACAGGUGGUCAGGUAGAGAAUACCAAGGCGCUUGAGAGAACUCGGGUGAAGGAACUAGGCAAAAUGGUGCCGUAACUUCGGGAGAAGGCACGCUGAUAUAUAGGUGAAGUCCCUCGCGGAUGGAGCUGAAAUCAGUCGAAGAUACCAGCUGGCUGCAACUGUUUAUUAAAAACACAGCACUGUGCAAACACGAAAGUGGACGUAUACGGUGUGACGCCUGCCCGGUGCCGGAAGGUUAAUUGAUGGGGUUAGCCGCAAGGCGAAGCUCUUGAUCGAAGCCCCGGUAAACGGCGGCCGUAACUAUAACGGUCCUAAGGUAGCGAAAUUCCUUGUCGGGUAAGUUCCGACCUGCACGAAUGGCGUAAUGAUGGCCAGGCUGUCUCCACCCGAGACUCAGUGAAAUUGAACUCGCUGUGAAGAUGCAGUGUACCCGCGGCAAGACGGAAAGACCCCGUGAACCUUUACUAUAGCUUGACACUGAACAUUGAGCCUUGAUGUGUAGGAUAGGUGGGAGGCUUUGAAGUGUGGACGCCAGUCUGCAUGGAGCCGACCUUGAAAUACCACCCUUUAAUGUUUGAUGUUCUAACGUUGACCCGUGAUCCGGGUUGCGGACAGUGUCUGGUGGGUAGUUUGACUGGGGCGGUCUCCUCCUAAAGAGUAACGGAGGAGCACGAAGGUUGGCUAAUCCUGGUCGGACAUCAGGAGGUUAGUGCAAUGGCAUAAGCCAGCUUGACUGCGAGCGUGACGGCGCGAGCAGGUGCGAAAGCAGGUCAUAGUGAUCCGGUGGUUCUGAAUGGAAGGGCCAUCGCUCAACGGAUAAAAGGUACUCCGGGGAUAACAGGCUGAUACCGCCCAAGAGUUCAUAUCGACGGCGGUGUUUGGCACCUCGAUGUCGGCUCAUCACAUCCUGGGGCUGAAGUAGGUCCCAAGGGUAUGGCUGUUCGCCAUUUAAAGUGGUACGCGAGCUGGGUUUAGAACGUCGUGAGACAGUUCGGUCCCUAUCUGCCGUGGGCGCUGGAGAACUGAGGGGGGCUGCUCCUAGUACGAGAGGACCGGAGUGGACGCAUCACUGGUGUUCGGGUUGUCAUGCCAAUGGCACUGCCCGGUAGCUAAAUGCGGAAGAGAUAAGUGCUGAAAGCAUCUAAGCACGAAACUUGCCCCGAGAUGAGUUCUCCCUGACUCCUUGAGAGUCCUGAAGGAACGUUGAAGACGACGACGUUGAUAGGCCGGGUGUGUAAGCGCAGCGAUGCGUUGAGCUAACCGGUACUAAUGAACCGUGAGGCUUAACCUU